AAAUUGAAGAGUUUGAUCAUGGCUCAGAUUGAACGCUGGCGGCAGGCCUAACACAUGCAAGUCGAGCGGUAGCACAGAGAGCUUGCUCUCGGGUGACGAGCGGCGGACGGGUGAGUAAUGUCUGGGAAACUGCCUGAUGGAGGGGGAUAACUACUGGAAACGGUGGCUAAUACCGCAUAAUGUCGCAAGACCAAAGUGGGGGACCUUCGGGCCUCAUGCCAUCAGAUGUGCCCAGAUGGGAUUAGCUAGUAGGUGGGGUAACGGCUCACCUAGGCGACGAUCCCUAGCUGGUCUGAGAGGAUGACCAGCCACACUGGAACUGAGACACGGUCCAGACUCCUACGGGAGGCAGCAGUGGGGAAUAUUGCACAAUGGGCGCAAGCCUGAUGCAGCCAUGCCGCGUGUGUGAAGAAGGCCUUCGGGUUGUAAAGCACUUUCAGCGGGGAGGAAGGCGUUAAGGUUAAUAACCUUGGCGAUUGACGUUACCCGCAGAAGAAGCACCGGCUAACUCCGUGCCAGCAGCCGCGGUAAUACGGAGGGUGCAAGCGUUAAUCGGAAUUACUGGGCGUAAAGCGCACGCAGGCGGUCUGUCAAGUCGGAUGUGAAAUCCCCGGGCUCAACCUGGGAACUGCAUUCGAAACUGGCAGGCUAGAGUCUUGUAGAGGGGGUAGAAUUCCAGGUGUAGCGGUGAAAUGCGUAGAGAUCUGGAGGAAUACCGGUGGCGAAGGCGGCCCCCUGGACAAAGACUGACGCUCAGGUGCGAAAGCGUGGGGAGCAAACAGGAUUAGAUACCCUGGUAGUCCACGCCGUAAACGAUGUCGAUUUGGAGGUUGUGCCCUUGAGGCGUGGCUUCCGGAGCUAACGCGUUAAAUCGACCGCCUGGGGAGUACGGCCGCAAGGUUAAAACUCAAAUGAAUUGACGGGGGCCCGCACAAGCGGUGGAGCAUGUGGUUUAAUUCGAUGCAACGCGAAGAACCUUACCUGGUCUUGACAUCCACAGAACUUUCCAGAGAUGGAUUGGUGCCUUCGGGAACUGUGAGACAGGUGCUGCAUGGCUGUCGUCAGCUCGUGUUGUGAAAUGUUGGGUUAAGUCCCGCAACGAGCGCAACCCUCCUUUGUUGCCAGCGGUCCGGCCGGGAACUCAAAGGAGACUGCCAGUGAUAAACUGGAGGAAGGUGGGGAUGACGUCAAGUCAUCAUGGCCCUUACGACCAGGGCUACACACGUGCUACAAUGGCAUAUACAAAGAGAAGCGACCUCGCGAGAGCAAGCGGACCUCAUAAAGUAUGUCGUAGUCCGGAUUGGAGUCUGCAACUCGACUCCAUGAAGUCGGAAUCGCUAGUAAUCGUAGAUCAGAAUGCUACGGUGAAUACGUUCCCGGGCCUUGUACACACCGCCCGUCACACCAUGGGAGUGGGUUGCAAAAGAAGUAGGUAGCUUAACCUUCGGGAGGGCGCUUACCACUUUGUGAUUCAUGACUGGGGUGAAGUCGUAACAAGGUAACCGUAGGGGAACCUGCGGUUGGAUCACCUCCUUA
rnacentral:rRNA from 1 species